AGACAGAGGGUGCAAACGUUGCUCGGAAUUACUGGGCGUAAAGCGUGUGUAGGCUGAUUUGUAAGUCGGUUGUGAAAUCCCUUGGCUCAACCAAGGAACUGCGACCGAUACUGGCGGAAUCGAGUAUGGAAGAGGAGAGUGGAAUUCCCGGUGUAAGGGUGAAAUCUGUAGAUAUCGGGAAGAACACCGUUGGCGAAAGCGACUCUCUGGUCCAAUACUGACACUGAGGUGCGAAAGCUAGGGGAGCAAACAGGAUUAGAAACCCCGGUAGUCC
rnacentral:rRNA from 1 species